UUACUUUUUCCCCUUUCCCCCUUUGUCAGACCUGCAGAGCACUCCUGCCGGAAGUGUCCUCCAGUCGGGCUCCGGCUCAGUCGAGGAGGAGGAGGAGGAGGAGGCGGCGGCGGCGGCGGCGGCCGCGACCGCGGCCCCACGUGCCGUCUGUCAUCACACUCCAGACAAGUGUCUCGGUCUCUCCACACCAUGAGAACUUUUCGUCCCAUCAUGGUUGCUUCCUGCCCUGUCAUGAAAGCAGGAUAGUCUUGAGAUCGGUGAAAAACCUGCAGCAUGGCGCCAUGCCUUCCCUGGUUCAGCUGUAUGGGUGCUAUCCCUACCAGGCUUCAUCCAUUUGAGGGAGUGAUCUCUGCUUCACUUUGCUUCGACUUGUCGUUACCAAGGUUGGGCACCUUCUUGCACUACAUGCAACCCUAGCUCCUUGUUGGUUUGAUGGUUCAGCUUUGCAUUUGGAGUAGUCGUUCAACAUCAUAUGGAGCUGCUUACUGGCUGUGUUCAGCAUGAUCUGUAAAGAAAGCUUUUAAAAUCAAACAGAGAAAGACAGUCUUGCUGCUUUCUAAUUUAUAAGAAAAGACCUAAAAGAACUUUGCAUACUUACCUUCUUCUGUUUUGUUUUGGCAUCUGCACCAAGUACACCUGUUCUGCCGUGGCAGCAGACCAGAAAACACAAAGGCUCUGGGACUCCUGUGGCUGGAUGCUAGGAAACCUAUCUGGACUUCGGCAAAACCAGGACUGUCUUGUUAAUCUCACCUUCCCAGACCACUCCACUUUGGAGUCAGCAUUCAGAGGUUAUGUAAAAAGAACUAGGCCUUAAGCCUCAUUGUUUCUAAGACUAUUUGUAUCAGACAUAUAAC